UCCAAUAUAGUAUGUGAUAUUUGCCCAGAGGCAGUUUGUACAAGACAUCCCACCAGGAUAGGGGGGAGUGGUGCAGCAGGGAACCAAUAGGAGAAGCCAUUUAGAUUGCAGUAACCAACGUUUCCCAAUCUGUCUGUUCCACUCUGUGCAACUAUUUUGCGUGUGUUUGCCCUAAGUCUCCAGUUUGUGUCAAAGUGCAACCAGGAUUUAUAUGCUGUUUGUGUUUUGUUCAGGUUAAUGUAAGGGGUCAGUAUGUGUUUAUGUCAGGAGAGAGAACACAAAUGGAAACCACAAUGAGUCAAAGAUGAAGCCUUGCUUUUGCUCGUGACGCCCACCCUUGACUGGUCCAAUUUAUACAUACGAGGACAACCUUGCCUCUAAAAAGUAUUGCAACUCUGCCCAGAUGGCUUCAAAUGAUGUGUUGGGAUAAAUGUGGUUCCACAGGGAAAAUGAUAUUUCAGCGAUGAUGAUGAAGAAAGAAAAAGAAAAAGAAAGAUGGUUGUAAUCCUGCUGGAAUGGCAGACUCUGCCACUAACAUUAUAUAGACAGGUAACAACUGAAUGUAAACACACUGAAUGGCUAUUGCUGAAUAAAAU